rnacentral:misc_RNA from 1 species
GGAUAUUGAUCUUAGAUAGUAAUUCAGAAGAAAGUCCCCUUAGCAAUUCCAAGACCCUUGACUUUGCCUUAGCACUUGCCUCGUGAUACCUAGCUAUUGCAUCUUCCACCCUCAUUGUAGUGAACCAUUCUUCUCCAACCUUCUUCCCCUUUGAAUCUAGAGCAGGUCUGAGUUGCUUAAUUUGUUCUUCUCCAGCGGUUCCAGCCCAAACAGUUGGUACAAAUCUCUUUCCCUUAAACCAUACAGCUCCA